GGGCAUAUCAGGUUUAAACACCAGUUCUCAUACAAUCACCAAAGUUAAGCAAUGUAGAGUCUGGUCAGUACCUAGAUGGGUGACUGCUUGGGAAUUCCAGGUGUUAUC
rnacentral:rRNA from 1 species